rnacentral:rRNA from 1 species
AGCGAACGCUGGCGGCGUGCCUAACACAUGCAAGUCGAACGUGAAAGGGAGCAAUCCCAAGUAAAGUGGCGUACGGGUGAGUAACACGUAGGUAAUCUACCCCAGAAUCUGGAAUAACCGGCCGAAAGGCUGGCUAAUACUGGAUAGAGCGACGGAAUCCGUAAUUGGGUUUUUCGGGAAAGGGAGCCUGUAAAAAGGCCUUCGUUCUGGGAUGAGCCUGCGUCCCAUCAGCUAGUUGGUGAGGUAAAAGCUACCAAGGCAAUGACGGGUAGCUGGUCUGAGAGGACGAUCAGCCACACUGGAACUGAAACACGGUCCAGACUCCUACGGGAGGCAGCAGUGGGGAAUCUUGCGCAAUGGACGAAAGUCUGACGCAGCAACGCCGCGUGAGUGAAGAAGGCCUUCGGGUUGUAAAGCUCUGUCGAGUGGGACGAAAAUGCUUGGAGUUCACAGCUCCAGGAACUGACGGUACCACUAAAGGAAGCACCGGCUAACUCCGUG